UACGUAGGAUCCAAGCGUUGUCCGGAUUUACUGGGUGUAAAGGGUGCGCAGGCGGGCUUGUGCGUCAGAGGUUAAAUCUCACGGCUCAACCGUGAAACUGCCUUUGAUACGGCAAGUCUUGAGUGUGGGAGAGGAUGGUAGAAUUCCUGGUGUAGCGGUGAAAUGCGUAGAUAUCAGGAGGAAUACCAGUGGCGAAGGCGGCCAUCUGGCCCAUAACUGACGCUCAGGCACGAAAGCGUGGGUAGCAAACAGG
rnacentral:rRNA from 1 species